UACAGAGGUGGCAAGCGUUGUUCGGAAUUACUGGGCGUAAAGGGCGAGUAGGUGGCCAUCUAAGUCAGACGUGAAAUCCCCCGGCUUAACCUGGGAACUGCGUCUGAUACUGGACGGCUUGAGUAUGGGAGAGGAAUGUAGAAUUCCUGGUGUAGCAGUGAAAUGCGUAGAUAUCAGGAGGAAUACCGAUGGCGAAGGCAGGUCUCUGGGCUGACACUGACGCUCAUGCACGAAAGCGUGGGGAGCAAACAGG
rnacentral:rRNA from 1 species